GACGAACGCUGGCGGCGUGCUUAACACAUGCCAGUCGAACGGAAAGGCCCUGCUUGUGUGGGGUGCUCGAGUGGCGAACGGGUGAGUAACACGUGAGUAACCUGCCCUUGACUUUGGGAUAACUUCAGGAAACUGGGGCUAAUACCGGAUAGGAGCUCCUGCUGCAUGGUGGGGGUUGGAAAGUUUCGGCGGUGGGGGAUGGACUCGGGGUUUCUCAGCUUGUUGGUGGGGUAGGGGCUUACGAAGGCGUUGACGGGUAGCCGGCGCGCGAGGGUGGCCGGCAGCAGUGAGAGUGAGACAAGGCGCCGGCGGCGACGGGAGGCGGCAGCGGGGGGGAGGGAGACACGGGGGCAGGCCAGAUGCAGCGAGGGCGCGGGGGGGGGGAGGGCCGACGGGGGGUAAUCGCCUAUCACCCCUGACGAAGACGAGGUAGUGACGGUAGUGGAAGAAGAAGCACCGGCUAACUACGUG
rnacentral:rRNA from 1 species